AGAGCGAACGCUGGCGGCAUGCUUAACACAUGCAAGUCGCACGGGCAGGGGUAACUCUGUCAGUGGCGGACGGGUGAGUAACGCGUAGGUAUCUAUCCUUGGGUGGGGGACAACCGUGGGAAACUACGGCUAAUACCGCAUGAUAACUGAGGUUUAAAGGCGCAAGUCGCCUGGGGAGGAGCCUGCGUACGAUUAGCUAGUUGGUGGGGUAAAGGCCUACCAAGGCUACGAUCGUUAGCUGGUCUGAGAGGAUGAUCAGCCACAUUGGGACUGAGACACGGCCCAAACUCCUACGGGAGGCAGCAGUGGGGAAUAUUGGACAAUGGGCGCAAGCCUGAUCCAGCAAUGCCGCGUGUGUGAAGAAGGUCUUCGGAUUGUAAAGCACUUUCGACGGGGACGAUGAUGACGGUACCCGUAGAAGAAGCCCCGGCUAACUUCGUGCCAGCAGCCGC
rnacentral:rRNA from 1 species